GCCCCUGUGGUGAAAUUGGUAGACGCGCCGCACUCAAAAUGCGGUUCCGAAAGGAGUGCUGGUUCGAGUCCGGCCAGGGGCACCA
rnacentral:tRNA from 1 species